CCAUUUAUUAGAACCAAUACAAGAGUAUGAAAAGAGGGAAAAGAGGAGGGUAGAAGAGGGGGAGAGAAUGAGGUCUGCAUCAGAUGUCAGUUAUGGAAACACAUAAAUGCUUACUUUUUAAACAUUUACAUUUAAAAGGUGAACAUAUAUAUAGACCACUUACAGUUUUUUUAAAAAAAAUCGAAAGCAGACAUGUUUGGCUGAAAUAAAACCAAGAAACACAAUCAAAACUCCCCCAUAAACCUAAAAGUCCAUGGAGAAUUCAAUUUCUCAUUUCCAUUCAGAAAUCUGGCUACAAAGUGAUUUGUUUGCUACUUGGGACAGUACAGAGUGCUGAAAGAAACCCAGCUCCUGAGUCUCUUAGAUCCCAUCCUGUAGGAAGUGGUGGGAAAGCCAGCGGACCAUGGGCAAGUCAAUUCCUGGCUCCUUGGCAGGACAUCAGACUGUGCUCUCUCCAUUCCCCAGGACUCCACAGAACCGUCUGGUACUGCUAGUGCUGGGUGAACAGUGAGAACAGAGUCCACAAAACACAGAGAACCAGAAUGUGACCGCAAGGAGCCAGGACCUUGUGCUUUUUCAUGGAUUACAAAUCUAGGGCCAAGGAGAGGAAAAGGAGAAAGAGCCCUAUUGGGAAGAGGAGCUGGCUGCACCCCUAAACUGAGAUGGACAGAGUAAGGCUCUUGAGCCCACACCUGGGCAAGUAGAAAUAGUGUCCAAAGUUUUCUCAAACCAGAGGGAAAAAAGGUCAAGGUUAGGUUCAGACUGCAGACACUGAGAAAGAGAUGACAAGAUGCUGAAUACAGUGAAUUGGAUGAAGCUUUAAGGAUCAAUGCCCAAUUCUGAGUGUUACACACAUUUCUAGGAAAAAUAAUUUAAUUCCAAUGUAGUUUUUUUUUGGGGGGUGGAAACAAGGUGGUCAUAUUUAUUGAAUCAGCUGGUCCCUAUGAGAAAGGAGAGGCCCGGGUACAGAUACCACAAAGGGGUACAGUGACCCAGCUGUCCUGGGAUCAGUUUGGGGAGUGGUAAGCAAUGACAUAAAUCAAAACCACUGAGGGUUGCUUUGAUCCUGAGACAGUCUGAGUCUACUUCAAACCCAUGGGGAAUGGAACUUUAAUCCCCAACCUGCAGAGAGAAAUAAGCAGUAGCAUCUCUGCCUCACGAUUCCCUAAUCCAAUGCUCUUGAAUCUGAAAUGGCCUUCCUCUGUGAAUGCAAAACACAGAAAAUCCUAAGUGCCUUCCCCAACAACAUCCUAAGAAAGUCUGGACUAAUAAGAUUCUAACAUUCAUGAAAACACUGUCAACAUCUGAACUAGCAGCUUUGAUGAGGGGUGGGGGGCAGAGAAUUUGCCGAGUCACUAAGUAGUUCCAGUCUUGGAGACAGCUCAGUGAGGAUGAAAGCCUGUGUGUCAGGCUUAAACUCCGGCUCAAGACAUCCUCCACAGAGGACCCUGAAGUAUUCUAUUAACUUUGAUUUACAAUGCCUCACAACACCACCCCUGUGAGGUAGGUCAGUAUUAUUACCCCCAUUUGACAGAUGGGGAACUGAGGCAUUGAAAGAAGUGACUUGCCCAAGGUCAGCCAUUAUGAAUCAGUUGAGGAGGUGGGCACACAGAGUCAGCAUCCACUCAAUUCUUGUUCCAUUUCCCAGAGCAUUUUACUUCUCAGAGUACACUUGGAAGCAGAGGAAAAUUGGCAGGUACACCUCAUUCUGCAAACUAGAUUAAUUCAAUAACCCAAGAGUAUUAACUGAGGGCCUAUUAUUUAUCUAGUAUAAUGUGGGGAAUCUUGGAAAAAUGAACUGCUUCUGAAAGUCAUGUUACAGAUGUUUUGAAAAUAAAAUAUCUUUAACAUUAAGGACAUGAAUUCUUUUAUAAAGAAAUAUUCACUUUAUAUUAGGAGGUGAAGGACUAAGUCACACUGAUUUCUCAAAGUUUUAUAUUGAGUAACCUGAAUUCCUAAAAUCCAGAAAGCAAGACCACAUUCCAACAGAAACAAUGAAUAAGAACCAUUUCCCCAGUGGUGGGUCUUGGUAGCGCCCUUACAAAGCUGCAAGGUUGGUGGCGUGGGAAUCCUAACACCACAAAACACCCUCUUACUAUGUCACAUCCCUUCCCACAAUACCCAGAGGGCGGCAUUUUUCCAACCUUUCUGCCUCAGCUCUACUUCAGGAGUUGCAGCAUCUUCAAAAACACCUCAAGGGUAAGGAUACACAUGGUGACCCCUGCUUUUCUAUUCAGGGAGAGGGGAUGAAAAUAUUCUCUCUAACUAAUCAUAUAGACUCUUGUAUUCUUUCCUCCUGCCAGAGACGUAACUCUUUAAUAAAAAAAAAAAAAAGGUAGAAGAAAAAACAGUAUGUCUUUUCUCCCCCUUUGGAUUUACUUUGGAUUCUGGUAGAAAUCAUUAUGUCUCUUAUCUUAAACUGAGGAGGUGGGGAGUGAGGGGGACAUGAGACAGACACCAAACUCACCAUCAGCCCUGGUUUAAAAGAAUCCAGUCCUAAAGCUACUGGAAACCAGAAAACACUGACUUGAGCCUUAAGAGUGUUGUGACAUGAUUCAACUGUCUUUUCAGGUGUUCUCAAAGAAUUUCUAGGCAGAAAGCCUCUCCUUUUUCCCAUACCUCUUCACAGCAGCCAGUGUAGCAAGUCCCCACAUACAACAGAAGCUCAAAAGAUGAUUUAUCAACACACACAGUAAAAUGUUCACUAGGAGCCGGGUGCAGUGGCUCAUGCCUGUAAUCCCAGCACU
ensembl:lncRNA